rnacentral:rRNA from 1 species
CCUACGGGUGGCUGCAGUGAGGAAUAUUGGUCAAUGGGCGCGAGCCUGAACCAGUCAAGUAGCGUGCAGGAUGACUGCCCUACGGGUUGUAAACUUCUUUUAUAAAGGAAUAAAACGAGGCACGUGUGCCUUUUUGCAUGUACUUUAUGAAUAAGCAUAGGCUAACUCCGUGCCAGCAGCCGCGGUAAUACGGAGGAUCCGAGCGUUAUCCGGAUUGAUUGGGUUUAAAGGGAGCGUAGAUGGGUUGUUAAGUCAGUUGUGAAAGUUUGCGGCUCAACCGUAAAAUUGCAAUUGAUACUGGCAGUCUUGAGUACAGUUGAGGUAGGCGGAAUGCGUGGUGUAGCGGUGAAAUGCUUAGAUAUCACGAAGAACCCCGAUUGCGAAGGCAGCUUACUAAACUGUGACUGACAUUGAUGCUCGAAAGUGUGGGUAUCAAACAGGAUUAGAUACCCUUGUAGUC